CGCAAGCCUGAUGCAGCCAUGCCGCGUGUAUGAAGAAGGCCUUCGGGUUGUAAAGUACUUUCAGCAGUGAGGAAGGCGGGUACGUUAAUAGCGUGCUUGUUUGACGUUAGCUGCAGAAGAAGCACCGGCUAACUCCGUGCCAGCAGCCGCGGUAAUACGGAGGGUGCGAGCGUUAAUCGGAAUUACUGGGCGUAAAGCGCAUGCAGGUGGUUCGUUAAGUCAGAUGUGAAAGCCCGGGGCUCAACCUCGGAAUUGCAUUUGAAACUGGCGGACUAGAGUACUGUAGAGGGGGUAGAAUUUCAGGUGUAGCGGUGAAAUGCGUAGAGAUCUGAAGGAAUACCGGUGGCGAAGGCGGCCCCCUGGACAGAUACUGACACUCAGAUGCGAAAGCGUGGGGAGCAAACAGGAUUAGAUACCCUGGUAG
rnacentral:rRNA from 1 species